GACGAACGCUGGCGGCGUGCCUAAUACAUGCAAGUCGAGCGAUGAAGCUUGGUGCUUGCGCCAAUUUGUAGAGCAGCGAACGGGUGAGUAACGCGUGGGGAAUCUGCCUCUGAGCGGGGGAUAACAUUUGGAAACGAAUGCUAAUACCGCAUAACAACUUUAAACAUAAGUUUCAAGUUUGAAAGAUGCAAUUGCAUCACUCAAAGAUGAUCCCGCGUUGUCUUAGCUAGUUGGUGAGGUAAAGGCACACCAAGGCGAUGAUACAUAGCCGACCUGAGAGGGGUGGCGGCCAAAUUGGGACGGGAGCACGGGCCAAACCCCUGCGGGGGGGAGCAGUAGGGAAACUUCGGGAAAGGACGAAAGUCUGACCGAGGAACGCCGGGUGAGUGAAGGAGGUUUUCAGGUCGUAAAACUCUGUUGGUAGGGAAGAACGUAAGUGAGAGUGAAAAGCUCAUAUAGUGACGGUAACUAACGAGAAAGGGACGGCUAACUACGUG
rnacentral:rRNA from 1 species